CUCGGACUCUGGAUAGGACAGACACCAAGAGAAGGCCUCAGGGCACACCCGUGGGCCAGCGCUGGCCCAGGGGGAAGGCAGGAGGAGGAGAGGCAGCAUCCAAGGACCAGGGCCUCUAGUGCUCAGACUCCACCUCCGUCCCCACCAGACAUGCACAUGCACAGGCUUCCUCCUGGGCCCAUGGUCCAAUGAGUAUGAAGGAAGAACUUUCUAGCUGCCGGGACCCUCCAGGACAGAUGGAGCUGCCAGGUAAACAUUGCCAUCCAAGUGCGAUGUGCCUUUGCCCUCAACAAACCAAUGCUCUGAGAUGAAAUUCAAGACAUGAAAUGGCAAAAUAAGGGCCCCAAAAUAAGGGCCAGGAGGCUAAAGAUACAAGGCCAGAGCUGAAGCCCAGAGCCAACUCCGGCCAUGUCCCAGGCCAUAGAGAAGUGUGUGUGCAGCACUGGAGGCUGGAGCUGAGGAGCAGUCCUGGAGAGAAAUUUGCUGAACAUCUUGGGAAACCGGAUCCUUAAAGCAAUAGAAGAUGCUCCUAAUGAACACUUUUUCCCCCAAGAGAACUAUGAGCCAGAAGGACACUGAAAACAAGGUGAGAAGCAAAUGUGGUCCCUGGAACAGCACCAUCGCUGUCACCUGGGCAUUUGUCAGAAAUGGAAAACCUGAAUCUACUUCUUACCAAGAUCAUGUGCACAUUACAGUUUGAGAAGCACUCGAGGCUCGGGGC